rnacentral:tRNA from 1 species
GAGGGUAUAACUCCAUGAUAGAGUGCGUACUUUGCAUGCACGAGGUCCUGGGUUCACUUCCCAGCACUUCCA